ACCAACAACACUGUUCAGCAGCCAUCUUGCGAAGUGUGACGCCUUGGCAUUGUUGUCGCGUCUCCUUCACAAUUUUAAACUAAAAUUAAGUACAAAUAGUCACAGUUUAUCAAGUUUCGGGCAAAUUCCAAGAAAAAUGUCGCGUUACCGUGAAUGGGAUUUAUCUUGCAAAGUUUACGUUGGAAAUUUGGGCUCAUCGGCCAGCAAGCACGAAAUCGAGAGUGCUUUCAGUAAGUAUGGACCUUUAAGGAACGUGUGGGUGGCCAGGAAUCCUCCAGGUUUCGCUUUCGUGGAAUUUGAGGACCCGAGGGACGCGGAGGACGCCGUGAGGGGUCUGGACGGAACGCGGUGCUGUGGGACGCGCGUCCGGGUGGAAAUGUCCAACGGGAGGUCCAGGAGAGGAGGCGGAAGGAGGGGACCCAUGAGAUACUCCAGGGCAGCGCCACUGCUGUUGUUUUCUCCCCCCGACUGAGACCCACCCCCUCCCCGGCCACACAUCUCAUCUUACAUCGACACACCCAACUACUACAGCUACAUCCACCAUCUGUGGUGACCGCCCUCCUCAAUCAACUAUAAUAACGAGACCGCGCGACUACUACUACUCACCAGCUGCAUUUUACAACCUCUAUUAAAAAUCAACGUGUGGUUGAAAAAAUUCCAGCUCAAAGUUUCAAAACAACAUGCAACAUAGCAAGGCAUAGCAAAACCAACUAUAAUUUCUCCUCUUCCAAAAACGUCUCUUCAUUAUAUUGGUGGGAUUAUUGAAACAUUUUUUCGUUCGAAUAUAUACGGCGUGUCGCAAAAUGAUUGGCUACCCGAAGAUGGUCCAGAUCACCAAGACGCUCACGUACACCAAGGUCGAGGUCACGCAGCAGGGACAGACGCAGCCGAUCAGACUCCAGGGAUCGCCGUUAAGUGACUUUUUUCAUUGUAUUCUGAUUAUAACAAUGUGUAAUUUA